rnacentral:rRNA from 1 species
UACAGAGGCCUCGAGCGUUAGGCGGAAUCACUGGGCUUAAAGCGUGUGUAGGCGGACUUCUAAGUACCUUGUGAAAUCCCACGGCUUACCCGUGGAACUGCUCGGUAUACUGGUUGUCUUGAGCCACUCAGGGGCGAGCGGAACAAAUGGUGGAGCGGUGAAAUGCGUAGAUAUCAUUUGGAACGCCAAUGGUGAAAACAGCUCGCUGGGGGUGUGCUGACGCUGAGACACGAAAGCCAGGGGAGCGAACGGG